rnacentral:lncRNA from 10 species
CUCACACCCCUUUAUUAACUGAAGCUGACUUAACCCGAACUAUCUGAAGCUGACUCAACCCGAACUAUCCGAGAUCACACGUAAAUGUUUUCCUUCUGAUCUCAACUUUUCUCCUUAUCGUGGGGCAUGGAAAGGAGGAGAUCGCAGCAGGGAAGUUUUUGUUCUUGUUCACAUGCUAACAAUGGUGUCUGUGAACUCAAGAGAAGCCUUUCAUUCUAGACAUAGUAGUUAUUUUCUAAAUCAUCUUUAAACUUAUUUGCUGGAAUAUUGUGGGGGUAAAGUGCAAACUUCCCCUUCACCAUCUGAAGGUUUGCUAAAAAUCAACAGGCAGAAGGCGAAUUAACAGGAGAAAUGGCAUGCCAAUUUGUUUGAUCACAGUUUUACAUGAAGAAUGAAGACCCAAAGACACAUGAGAAAUUGUCCAUUUUUAUGCAACACCAGACCAGGCGAUGCUCUAAGACAGGUACAACAAAGUAUGGACAUGCGUGUAGAAAUACGAG